UUAUUAAAGGUAAGUCCUGCCCUAUGAUUAGUUAAAUGGCUGCAGUAUUCUGACUGUGCAAAGGUAGCAUAAUAAUUAGUCUUUUAAUUGAAGACUUGUAUGAAAGGAUAGAUGAAAGGUUUAUUUUAUUAAUUAAAUAUUUUUAAUUUAAUUUUUUUGUAAAAAAGCUAAAUUGGUUUUUUGGGACGAUAAGACCCUAUAGAACUUUAUUAUUAAAUUUUUUUAUUUAUUUUUAGAUUUUUAUUUAUGUAUUAAAUUUUAUUUUUUUAUUGGGGUGAUAAAUAAAUUUUACUUUAUUUGUUUUUUUCAUUAAUUUAUGUUAUAAUGAUCCACUUUGUGAUUUUAAGAUUAAGUUACCUUAGGGAUAACAGCGUAAUUUUAAUGGGGAGUUCAUAUCUAUAUUAAAGUUUGCGACCUCGAUGUUGAAUUAAGAUAAGAAUGAGGGGUAG
rnacentral:rRNA from 1 species